rnacentral:rRNA from 1 species
CCUACGUGAGGCUGCAGUGAGGAAUAUUGGUCAAUGGGCGGAAGCCUGAACCAGCCAAGUAGCGUGCGGGAUGAAGGCCCUACGGGUCGUAACCCGCUUUUGCACGGGGAUAACACCCUCCACUUGUGGAGGUCUGCAGGUACCGUGCGAAUAAGGGCCGGCUAAUUCCGUGCCAGCAGCCGCGGUAAUACGGAAGGCCCGAGCGUUAUCCGGAUUCAUUGGGCUUAAAGGGAGCGUAGGCGGGCGUUCAAGUCAGCUGUAAAAUCGCGCGGCUCAACCGCGCCCCGCAGUUGAAACUGGACGCCUUGAGUUCACAACAGGCAGGCGGAAUUCGUGGUGUAGCGGUGAAAUGCAUAGAUAUCACGAGGAACCCCGAUUGCGAAGGCAGCCUGCCGGGGUGCGACUGACGCUGAGGCUCGAAGGUGCGGGUAUCAAACAGGAUUAGAUACCCGAGUAGUC